rnacentral:piRNA from 7 species
UACUAAAGAUUUCCGUGGAGAGGAAC